CCACGAAAGCCAAAACCAGUCAGAGACUGACCUGCGGUUUUAUACCGCUUCUGGUAGUCAACUGGGGUUUUUUUUUUCACUGUAGACAUGACAAAACUGACCAACCGUGAUCGACAUACGCCACCUACGUGGAAAUCCACGAUCUCUGAUGAAAUU
rnacentral:sRNA from 1 species